rnacentral:sRNA from 1 species
AAUAUGAUGUUUUACAUCUUUUCCUGUUGUUCAUAAGUUAAUCCCGUUUUUUGAGCUUUAUCCGCUGAAAAGCAUAAGUAAUUAUUUUGAAUACAGGUUUAAAGAUAUGUCUAACAUGAUCACCGGUACCGUUAAGUUUUUCAACGAAACCAAAGGUUUUGGCUUCAUCCAGCAAGAAAACGGCCCGGACGUUUUCGUUCACUUCAGCGCUAUCAGCGGUAACGGUUUCCGUACCCUGGCUGAAGGUCAGCGCGUACAGUUCUCUGUGACCCAAGGUCAGAAAGGCCCGCAGGCUGAGAACGUAACUGCUCUGUAAUUCUUACAGAAUUUAAGAAAGCCGUGGUACCUCUGGUUCCACGGCUUUU